rnacentral:rRNA from 1 species
AACGAACGCUGGCGGCGUGCCUAACACAUGCAAGUCGAACGGAAUGAGGGGGCUUGCUCCUUCAUUUAGUGGCGCACGGGUGAGUAACGCGUAGAUAAUCUGCCUGAUGAUCUGGGAUAACAUCUCGAAAGGGGUGCUAAUACCGGAUAAGCCCACGGGGUCUUUGGACUCUGCGGGAGAAGGGGGGGACCUUCGGGCCUUCUGUCAUCAGAUGAGUCUGCGUACCAUUAGCUAGUUGGUAGGGUAAUGGCCUACCAAGGCGACGAUGGUUAGCUGGUCUGAGAGGAUGAUCAGCCACACUGGAACUGAGACACGGUCCAGACUCCUACGGGAGGCAGCAGUGGGGAAUUUUGCGCAAUGGGCGAAAGCCUGACGCAGCAACGCCGCGUGAGUGAUGAAGGCUUUCGGGUCGUAAAGCUCUGUCAAGGGGAAAGAAGUGUAUUGUGGUUAAUACCCGCGAUACUUGACGGUACCCCUAAAGGAAGCACCGGCUAACUCCGUGCCAGCAGCCGCGGUAAUACGGAGGGUGCAAGCGUUGUUCGGAUUUAUUGGGCGUAAAGCGCGUGUAGGCGGUUUAUUAAGUCUGAUGUGAAAGCCCUGGGCUCAACCCAGGAAGUGCAUUGGAUACUGGUAGACUUGAAUACGGGAGAGGGCAGUGGAAUUCCUGGUGUAGGAGUGAAAUCCGUAGAUAUCAGGAGGAACACCGGUGGCGAAGGCGGCUGCCUGGACCGAUAUUGACGCUGAGACGCGAAAGCGUGGGUAGCAAACAGGAUUAGAUACCCUGGUAGUCCACGCCGUAAACGAUGAGUACUAGGUGUUGCGGGUAUUGACCCCUGCAGUGCCGCAGCUAACGCAUUAAGUACUCCGCCUGGGAAGUACGGUCGCAAGACUA